rnacentral:rRNA from 1 species
GAUGAACGCUGGCGGCGUGCCUAAUACAUGCAAGUCGAGCGAACAGAUGAGGAGCUUGCUCCUCUGACGUUAGCGGCGGACGGGUGAGUAACACGUGGAUAACCUACCUAUAAGACUGGGAUAACUUCGGGAAACCGGAGCUAAUACCGGAUAAUAUAUUGACCCGCAUGGUUCAAUAGUGAAAGACGGUUUUGCUGUCACUUAUAGAUGGAUCCGCGCCGCAUUAGCUAGUUGGUAAGGUAACGGCUUACCAAGGCAACGAUGCGUAGCCGACCUGAGAGGGUGAUCGGCCACACUGGAACUGAGACACGGUCCAGACUCCUACGGGAGGCAGCAGUAGGGAAUCUUCCGCAAUGGGCGAAAGCCUGACGGAGCAACGCCGCGUGAGUGAUGAAGGUCUUCGGAUCGUAAAACUCUGUUAUUAGGGAAGAACAAAUGUGUAAGUAACUAUGCACGUCUUGACGGUACCUAAUCAGAAAGCCACGGCUAACUACGUG